rnacentral:rRNA from 1 species
GCGUAGAAGCUUCUGAUGGUGGGUCUGUUCGCCCUUUAAAAUCUAACAUGAGCUGAGUUCAGAACGGCGUGAGCUAGUUCAGUUUCUAUCCUCUUUUUGAAAUGAGCUAAUUUUGUACGAAAGGACUUUUUCGCUAAAGCAAUGCUUUGUCACAAAACUGUGGUUGCAUAAAUAAUAGGGUAUAAUAGGUUGAUUAGUCUAUAGGAAGGGUUA